GGAGUUAGCCGGUGCUUCUUCUGCGAGUAACGUCACAGAUGUAAGGUAUUAACUUACACCCUUUCCUCCUCGCUGAAAGUGCUUUACAACCCGAAGGCCUUCUUCACACACGCGGCAUGGCUGCAUCAGGGUUUCCCCCAUUGUGCAAUAUUCCCCACUGCUGCCUCCCGUAGGAGUCUGGGCCGUGUCUCAGUCCCAGUGUGGCUGAUCAUCCUCUCAGACCAGCUAGGGAUCGUCGCCUAGGUGAGCCUUUACCUCACCUACUAGCUAAUCCCACCUGGGCUUAUCCAUCAGCGCAAGGCCCGAAGGUCCCCUGCUUUCCCCCGUAGGGCGUAUGCGGUAUUAGCAGUCGUUUCCAACUGUUAUCCCCACAAAUGGGCAAAUUCCCAGGCAUUACUCACCCGUCCGCCGCUCGUCAUCUUCAAAAGCAAGCUUUUGAAAUGUUACCGCUCGACUUGCAUGUGUUAGGCCUGCCGCCAGCGUUCAAUCUGAGCCAUANNAACACUGACUCUAGCGGCGUGCGACGAGGCACUAG
rnacentral:rRNA from 1 species